rnacentral:ncRNA from 1 species
AGUUUUGGUCCUAAACUUGCCCUUGUUUUUUAUCAAAAUUAUACAUGCAAGCCUCCACGCACCAGUGAGAAUGCCCACCUUUUCCCCCAGAAAACUGGAGCAGGUAUCAGGAUACAACACCAACUUUAGCCAAAGACACCUUGCGUAUGCCACACCCACACGGGCCUUCAGCAGUAAUUAACAUUAAAGCAUGAGCGAAAGCUCGAUUUAAUUAUGAUAAACACGGUCGGUAAAUUUCGUGCCAGCCACCGCGGUUAUACGAAAGACCUAAAACAACGGCCAACGGCGUAAAGAGUGACUAGAGACACAAACAAUUAGGGGGGCACAGCGGCCAAGUUGUAAAAUACCCCUGCACGCUAGAACCACAACAAAAAUGCCUUUAAACUACUUUACCUCACGAAAGCUAAGAAACAAACUGGGAUUAGAUACCCCACUAUGCUUAGCCCUAAACACAGAUGGUACAAACACAAUACCAUCCGCCAGAGAACUACAAGCGAAAAGCUAGAAACUCUAAGGACUUGGCGGUGCUUCAAAUCAACCUAGAGGAGCCUGUCCUAUAAUCGAUACUCCACGUUUAACCCCACCCCUCCUAGCCAACCAGCCUAUAUACCGCCGUCGCCAGCCUACCCUGUGAAAGAACCAAAGUGGGCAAAAAAGUUUACAACUAACACGUCAGGUCAAGGUGUAGCACACGGAGCGGAAGAGAUGGGCUACAUUUUCUCAAAAAAAGAAAAUACGAAUGGUGUUCUGAAACACACACUUGAAGGCGGAUUUAGUAGUAAAAUAAACGAGAAUAAUUAUUUUAAACCUGCUCUGAAGCGCGCACACACCGCCCGUCACCCUCAUCACAUGUAACACAACACAACAU